rnacentral:rRNA from 1 species
CAAAGGCCCCAAAGGACGCCACGGCUAACUCUGUGCCAGCAGCCGCGGUAAUACAGAGGUGGCAAGCGUUGUUCGGAAUUAUUGGGCGUAAAGAGCACGUAGGCGGCCUUGCAAGUCAGUUGUGAAAGCCUUCCGCUUAACGGAAGAAUGCCAGCUGAUACUACAGGGCUUGAGUACGGGAGGGGAGAGUGGAACUUCUGGUGGAGCGGUGAAAUGCGUAGAUAUCAGAAGGAACGCCGGCGGCGAAAGCGACUCUCUGGCCCGAAACUGACGCUGAGUGUGCGAAAGCUAGGGGAGCAAACGGGAUUGGAUACCCCGGUAGUCCUAGCCGUAAA